rnacentral:lncRNA from 1 species
UCAGAGAUGAACAAGUGCGCGGGAGAAAAUGCACUUAGGACCUGCAGGUCUUAGUAAACUUGUCGCCAGCUCACCAAGUCGUUAGAAACUACGGGGAAACUCAGGUUAAGAACACUCCAGAGACAAUUCAGAAGCAAAAAGGAUUUUGAAGGAACGGUUGUAGUCUUUCAAGUCUGCAAAUAGUUAU